rnacentral:rRNA from 1 species
UCGGGAAUUUUGGGCAAUGGGCGAAAGCCUGACCCAGCAACGCCGCGUGAGGGAUGAAGUAUUUCGGUAUGUAAACCUCGAAAGAAUGGGAAGAAUAAAUGACGAUACCAUUUAUAAGCUCCGGCUAACUACGUGCCAGCAGCCGCGGUAAUACGUAGGGAGCAAGCGUUGUUCGGAUUUACCGGGCGUAAAGGGCGCGUAGGCGGCGCGGUAAGUCACUUGUGAAAUCUCUGAGCUUAACUCAGAACGUCCAAGUGAUACUGCUGUGCAAGAGGUCGGAAGAGGCAACCGGAAUUCUUGGUGUAGCGGUGAAAUGCGUAGAUAUCAAGAGUUACACCUGAGGCGAAGGCGGGUUGCUGGGCCGACACUGCCGCUGAUGCGCGAAAGCCAGG